GCCCGAUUAGCUAGUUGGCGGGGUAAAAGCCCACCAAGGCGACGAUCGGUAGCUGGUCUGAGAGGACGACCAGCCACACUGGGACUGAGACACGGCCCAGACUCCUACGGGAGGCAGCAGUGGGGAAUUUUGGACAAUGGGGGCAACCCUAAUCCAGCCAUGCCGCGUGUGUGAAGAAGGCCUUCGGGUUGUAAAGCACUUUCGGACGGAACGAAAUCGCGCGGGUGAAUAUCCCGCGUGGAUGACGGUACCGUAAGAAGAAGCACCGGCUAACUACGUGCCAGCAGCCGCGGUAAUACGUAGGGUGCGAGCGUUAAUCGGAAUUACUGGGCGUAAAGUGUGCGCAGGCGGCAGAGCAAGUCGAGUGUGAAAGCCCCGGGCUUAACUUGGGAAUUGCGCUCGAAACUACUUUGCUGGAGUGUGGCAGAGGAAGGUGGAAUUCCACGUGUAGCGGUGAAAUGCGUAGAGAUGUGGAGGAACACCAAUGGCGAAGGCAGCCUUCUGG
rnacentral:rRNA from 1 species